rnacentral:rRNA from 1 species
CCUACGGGAGGCAGCAGUGAGGAAUAUUGGUCAAUGGCCGGAAGGCUGAACCAGCCAAGCCGCGUGAGGGAGGAAGGCGCAGAGCGUCGCAGACCUCUUUUGCCGGGGGACAAAAGGCCGGACUCGUCCGGUCCUGAGGGUACCCGGAGAAAAAGCAUCGGCUAACUCCGUGCCAGCAGCCGCGGUAAUACGUAGGGGGCGAGCGUUAUCCGGAUUUACUGGGUGUAAAGGGAGCGUAGACGGCGUCGCAAGUCUGAAGUGAAAGCCCGUGGCUCAACCGCGGACCCGCUUUGGAAACUGCGUGGCUGGAGUGCUGGAGAGGUAAGCGGAAUUCCUGGUGUAGCGGUGAAAUGCGUAGAUAUCAGGAGGAACACCGGUGGCGAAGGCGGCUUACUGGACAGUGACUGACGUUGAGGCUCGAAAGCGUGGGGAGCGAACAGGAUUAGAUACCCUUGUAGUC